GGGAUCGCCCUCUUCAGUUUCUCCCAGCAUGAUCCCAAACGGGUACUGAAUGUGACGAUGGCAUCCAUCACACUAAAAAACUGCACGAGCUUCCUGCGUUUUAAGUGGCAGUGCACAGGGAUCCGAGAGGAAGUGAACUGCUCAUUUAACUGCAGCAUUCCACUUCAACCACCGACU